AUUAAACUAGUUUAAUAAAAACGAUAGCUUGUCGAGUUGUAGAUACAAAAUUUUUUGUGUUUAAUG
rnacentral:tRNA from 1 species